rnacentral:lncRNA from 1 species
UCCAUUGUUGAUUUCUAAUAUAUAUAUAUAUCAAAAAUUUUCUACUUGAAUGUUUAAGAAUAGGACAUAGAAUGACCUUACCACAGUAAUUUUCUUUGUGAAUGUGGACUUGAUUAACAAACACUGGGAUUUUAGAGGGAAAAAAAUCCUAUUUAAGAUAUUCAAUUAAUUAAUCUUAAAAUCCUGCAUAUUAAAAUUUGACUCACCAUUCUGCAGGGCUUGGAAGCCUCAGGAAACUUAAAUCAUGGUGGAAGAGGCAGCAAACACUUCCUUCUUCACAUAGCAGCAAGGAGAAGUGCAGAGCAAAAUGAGUGUAAAGCCCUUUAUAAAACCAUCAGAUAUUGUUAGAACUUAUUCAGUAUCACAAGAAGAGCCUGAAGAUGUCUACCCGCCUUCCCCUAAAUUCAUGUGUGGGAAUCCAAUCCCUCAGAAGUCUAUAAAAGGGAUGGGUUCUUGCAAUGGUGCCCAGGCUGGACUUGAACUCCUGUGCUCAAGCAGUGCUCCUGCCUGAACCCUCUGGGACUACAGGCCUGUGCCAUCACACCCACCUGUCCUUUGAAGCUUUGAAGCCAGGAAUUGACUUGCCCUCUCUAGCUAUCAAAGUCCUCAAUGGUGUCUUUUUCUAAUAGAAGGUUGUUUCCACUACAUUGAUAAUGUAUGGUUUGAUGUAGCCACCUUCAGCAACUAUCUUAGCUAGAUCUUCUGGAUAAUUUGCUGCAGCUGCUACAUCAGCAUUUGCUGCUUAAACUUAUACUUUUAUGUUGUGGAAAUAGCUUUCUUUAUUAAACUGCAUGAACCAACCUCUGCUAGCUUCAGUGUCUCUUCAGCAACUUCCUCACCUCACACAGCCUUCAGAGAAUUGAAGAUUUAGGAAUUUGCCUUGGAUCAGACCUUUGUUUAGGGGAAUGUGGUGGCUGGUUUGCUCUCUUCAGAUCACUAAAAUUUCUCCAUAAGGUCAUCAAGGCUAUUUUGGUUUCUCAUCUUUCAUAUGCUCACUAAAG